rnacentral:rRNA from 1 species
CCCGGCACAAGCGGUGGAGCAUGUGGUUAAUUCGAUGAUACGCGAAGAACCUUACCUGGGUUUGACAUGGACGUGGUAGGGAAGCGAAAGCGGACCGACCCUUCGGGGAGCGUUCACAGGUGCUGCAUGGCUGUCGUCAGCUCGUGCCGUGAGGUGUCGGGUUAAGUCCCGUAACGAGCGCAACUCCUGUCCUUAGUUACAAGUGUCUAAGGGGACUGCCGGCGGUAAGCCGGAGGAAGGUGGGGAUGACGUCAAGUCAGCAUGGCCCAUAUGUCCAGGGCUACACACACGCUACAAUGGCCAGUACAAUGGGCAGCGAGACCGCGAGGUGGAGCGAAUCCCAACAAAGCUGGUCAUAGUUCGAAUUGCAGGCUGCAACUCGCCUGCAUGAAGCUGGAGUUGCUAGUAACCGCGCGUCAGCUAUAGUGCGGUGAAUACGUUCCCGGGGCUU